rnacentral:rRNA from 1 species
UACGGAGGGUGCGAGCGUUGUCCGGAAUCACUGGGCGUAAAGGGCGCGUAGGUGGCGCGGGCAGUCAACGGUGAAAGUUCGGGGCUCAACCCUGAAUCGGCCGUCGAUACUCCCGGGCUUGAGCACUGUAGAGGCAGAUGGAAUUCCGGGUGUAGCGGUGGAAUGCGUAGAGAUCCGGAAGAACACCGGUGGCGAAGGCGGUCUGCUGGCAGUAGCUGACACUGAGGCGCGGACAGCGUGGGGAGCAACAG